rnacentral:rRNA from 1 species
CAGUAGCCACGGUAAUACGAAGGGGGCUAGCGUUGUUCGGAAUUACUGGGCGUAAAGCGCACGUAGGCGGUUAUUCAAGUCUGAGGUGAAAGCCCGGGGCUCAACCCCGGAACUGCCUUUGAAACUAGAUGACUAGAAUCUUGGAGAGGUCAGUGGAAUUCCGAGUGUAGAGGUGAAAUUCGUAGAUAUUCGGAAGAACACCAGUGGCGAAGGCGACUGACUGGACAAGUAUUGACGCUGAGGUGCGAAAGCGUGGGGAGCAAACAGGAUUAGAUACCCCCGUAGUCCCUGUCUCUUAUAC